rnacentral:rRNA from 1 species
AUUGAACGCUGGCGGCAGGCCUAACAUAUGCCAGUCGAGCGGAUGAAGGGAGCUUGCUCCUGGAUUCAGCGGCGGACGGGUGAGUAAUGCCUAGGAAUCUGCCUGGUAGUGGGGGAUAACGUCCGGAAACGGGCGCUAAUACCGCAUACGUCCUGAGGGAGAAAGUGGGGGAUCUUCGGACCUCACGCUAUCAGAUGAGCCUAGGUCGGAUUAGCUAGUUGGUGGGGUAAAGGCCUACCAAGGCGACGAUCCGUAACUGGUCUGAGAGGAUGAUCAGUCACACUGGAACUGAGACACGGUCCAGACUCCUACGGGAGGCAGCAGUGGGGAAUAUUGGACAAUGGGCGAAAGCCUGAUCCAGCCAUGCCGCGUGUGUGAAGAAGGUCUUCGGAUUGUAAAGCACUUUAAGUUGGGAGGAAGGGCAGUAGGUUAAUACCUUGCUGUUUUGACGUUACCAACAGAAUAAGCACCGGCUAACUUCGUG